rnacentral:rRNA from 1 species
CGAAAAAACAAAACAACGACUCUCAGCAACGGAUAUCUUGGCUCUUGCAACGAUGAAGAACGCAGCGAAAUGCGAUACCUAGUGUGAAUUGCAGAAUUCCGCGAAUCAUCGAGUCUUUGAACGCAAGUUGCGCCCGAGGCUUGUCCCGAGGGCAUGCCUGC